AGCAGCCGCGGUAAUUCCAGCUCCAAUAGCGUAUAUUAAAGUUGUUGCAGUUAAAAAGCUCGUAGUUGAAUUUCGGGAUCAAUUUGUUGGUCGUACCUUGGUACGUACUGACAUUAUUGGUUUCUCCCUUCUGAGAAUCCUUGAUAUCAUUAAUUUGGUGUCUUGGGGAAUCAGGACUGUUACCCUGAAAAAAUUAGAGUGUUUAAAGCAGGCAUACGCUUGAAUACAUUAGCAUGGAAUAAUGAAAUAGGACGUUCGAUUCUAUUUUGUUGGUUUCUAGGAUCGAUGUAAUGAUUAAUAGGGAUAGUUGGGGGCAUUAGUAUUCAAUUGUCAGAGGUGAAAUUCUUGGAUUUAUUGAAGACUAACUACUGCGAAAGCAUUGCCAGGAUGUUUUCAUUAAUCAAGAACGAAAGUUAGGGAUCGAAGACGAUCAGAUACCGUCGUAGUCUUAACCAUAAACUAUGCCGACUAGGGAUCGGGAUGAUGUUUAAUUUUUAUGUACUUCAUUCGGCGCCUUACG
rnacentral:rRNA from 1 species